rnacentral:rRNA from 1 species
GCUUGUCUCAAAGAUUAAGCCAUGCAUGUUCAAGUAUAGCAAGUGUACAGUGAAACUGCGAAUGGCUCAUUAAAUCAGUUAUAAUUUAUUUGAUAGUGAAAUUGUACAUGGAUAACCGUGGCAAUUCUAGGGCUAAUACAUGCGUCAAUGGUCGGUCGACCAGUAUUUAUUAGAUACAAUCGACGCCGUAAGGCUUUUGAUGAAUCAUAAUAACUGAACUAAGCGCAUGCUUUGGCGGCGCUGUUUCAUUCAAGUUUCUGCCCUAUCAGCUUUCGAUGGUAGGGUAUUGGCCUACCAUGGCGUUAACGGGUAACGGAGAAUUAGGGUUCGAUUCCGGAGAGGGAGCCUGAGAGAUGGCUACCACAUCCAAGGAAGGCAGCAGG